UGGGAGGAUGAUAUGAGCCUGUUUGGUGAGGAACUCCUGCAGUGGCGGGAUCCCCACUCAGAUACCUGAUGACAUACACAGGGGCCAUCUGACCAGAC